rnacentral:lncRNA from 1 species
CCAAGGCGGGGGAAAUCUCACAGACAGCAGCAGGACACAGCCUGCACACCAAGCUCGGGAGGAGCUGGGCAGACUCCGUUUAUACAGGAGUGAAGAAGAAAUCAAAAUAUUCUCAGAUGAAGAAAAGCAGAGAAUUUGUCAUCAGGAGACCUGCCCUAAAAGAAUGGCCCUAAUGGAAGUUCCUAAAAAAAGAGAAGACACUGAAAACAAAAAACAAAAAAAAAAACUUGAAGUAUUAUAAAAGUAUCAUAAAGAAAGAGGAGCAUAGUAAGCAAAAAUAUACUGCAGUUUUUACAGAUUGAAGGUUUGUAACAACCCUGCAUUAUUGGCACAAUUUUUCUACAACAUGCUCACCUCACAUCUCUGA